rnacentral:lncRNA from 1 species
CUAAUCUACAUAUUCAUACAACCCCCACUCCACUCCCAAUUCAUCCCCAACUUGUUUUCUUCCUCUUAUCUAUGUGCAACUACACAAUACCCACCACCACCUGCCUGUGAUCGAAACUAAGUUAUAGUCGCCACCACCACGACAUAAGCAGUGCCUCUGAUGAUGGUGUCACACAAACACUGCGUGCGACAACGAUGAGUUUUAAACUUGGUUGUGGUAAAAUGUUGUUGCUACGACCAGCAGCGAUUUGCUUCACCAAAUGUCGUAGCAGUAACAAGCGGCUCUUUGUGAUGGUGCCGCUUGCUUCACUAUCAGGGCUAACAAAAAUUUUUGCUAUCUCCCCAAACAGAUCGAUCUCUUGUCCAACCAAAAGGUGUCAAAUGUAAAUUCAGGCGAUGGGGACAAUGGAGUGAUGGAUGGACGGGUGGUAAUAGGGAGAUUAUUAGAGGUAACAGAGACCGCUUUGGUUGUGGUGGAGGUGAUUUCACGGGUGGUAACGUGAAUAUUGAUAGCAGUGGUAAGCUUACAGGUGGUGGCGGUGAGUGAUUGGGUGGUGGAGAUGAGCUCACGAGUGGUGGUGGAGAGAAAAUUGGUUUUGGUGUUGGAUUUGAUGAUGAAGGAGAUGGAACCAGCAUAAUUUUAUCAAAUUUUAAGCGAUGGGUGGUUUUUUUUAUCAGAUUUUUUGUUUAAUUAGAGUUUUUGGGAUGGUUGUUCGUGUUUUGCAGUGUAGAUGAUUUUCUGAUCUGUGGUGAUUCUAUUGUUGGUGGUUGUGUAGGUUGGUUUUGUGAUUGGUUGUGACUUGAGAUUAACCUGGUCACAAACAUUCACAUUGAAUACAAUUUUGGUCACAGCUAGUCACACUGAAGAUAAAGUUGGUCAUGGUUAACCACAGGUCUGCAGUGCGCGCAGAUUUGUUUGUGGUGAUCCUAUGCAAUCAAGUAUGUUUUAUGACUAUUUGUGAUCAAUUGUAUUGAUUGUAAUCGAUUGUAACUUGAGAUCGACCAGGUUACAGGCAGUCACAUUCAAUACAAAUUUGGUUACAAUUAGUCACAUUGAAGAUAGUUGGUCACAAGAGUCGGAGUGGUCAUUGGAGCAAUUUGUCGGAGGGAUCGUCUAACAGCCGCCGGAGCGAGCCUUGAAGUGAUUACGGGAACAGUCAUCGGAACGACCGUCGAAGUGACCGCUGGAAUGACCAUCGAAGCGAUCGUUGGAGCCGAUGGCCAUCUCCAAUAAAGAGGUGGAAGGAAGGUGGUGUAUUGGGGUGAUAGGAUAGGGGGAUGAGAUGACAUCGAUGGAAAUAAUUAAUGUAUAUUAUAUUAUAUUAUUUAAUAAAUUU